AACGCACGAGACCUGCGGACCUGCGGAAGGAUCGUUAAUGAAUAAACUUGGUCAAGCUGUUGCUGGUCUCUCGAGACAUGUGCACGCUUGCCACCAACUUUAACCACCUGUGCACCUUUUGUAGACUGGAAACGUUUCUCGAGGCAACUCGGAUUGAGAAUUGCUGCGCGCAAGCCAGCUGUUCUUGUGUUUCUCAGUCUAUGUUUUCAUAUACUCCUAAUGUAUGUAAUCGAAUGUAUU
rnacentral:misc_RNA from 1 species